rnacentral:rRNA from 1 species
CCUACGGGAGGCAGCAGUGAGGAAUAUUGGUCAAUGGUCGGGAGACUGAACCAGCCAAGCCGCGUGAGGGAUGAAGGUACUGAGUAUCGUAAACCUCUUUUGUCAGGGAACAAAGGCGGGGACGUGUCCCCGGAUGAGUGUACCUGAAGAAAAAGCAUCGGCUAACUCCGUGCCAGCAGCCGCGGUAAUACGGAGGAUGCGGGCGUUAUCCGGAUUUAUGGGGUUAAAAGGGUGCGCGGGGGGUCGGUAAAGUCAGCGGUCAAAGCCCGGGGCUAAACCCCGGACCGCCGUUGAAACUGGCAGUCUCGAGUUGGAGAGAGGUAGGCGGAAUGCGCGGUGUAGCGGUGAAAUGCAUAGAU